GAUGAAGAACGCAGUGAAAUGCGAUAAGUAAUGUGAAUUGCAGAAUUCAGUGAAUCAUCGAAUCUUUGAACGCACAUUGCGCCCGCCAGUAUUCUGGCGGGCAUGCCUGUCCGAGCGUCAUUUCAACCCUCGAACCCCUCCGGGGGGUCGGCGUUGGGGAUCGGCCCCUCACCGGGCCGCCCCCGAAAUCCAGUGGCGGUCUCGCCGCAGCCUCUCCUGCGCAGUAGUUUGCACACUCGCACCGGGAGCGCGGCGCGGCCACAGCCGUAAAACACCCCAAACUCUGAAAUGUUGACCUCGGAUCAGGUAGGAAUACCCGCUGAACUUAAGCAUAUCAAUAAGCGGAGGA
rnacentral:misc_RNA from 1 species